AAUCAACGCUGGCGGCGUGCCUAACACAUGCAAGUCGAACGAGAAAGUGGAGCAAUCCAUGAGUAAAGUGGCGACCGGGUGAGUAACACGUGACUAACCUACCUUUCAGUGGGGAAUAACCUCGGGAAACCGGGGCUAAUACCGCAUAAUGUCUACGGACCAAAGGAGCAAUUCGCUGGAAGAGGGGGUCGCGGCCGAUUAGCUAGUUGGCGGGGUAACGGCCCACCAAGGCAAUGAUCGGUAGCCGGCCUGAGAGGGCGCACGGCCACACUGGAACUGAAACACGGUCCAGACUCCUACGGGAGGCAGCAGUGGGGAAUUUUGCGCAAUGGGGGAAACCCUGACGCAGCAACGCCGCGUGGAGGAUGAAGCCCCUUGGGGUGUAAACUCCUUUCGAUCGGGACGAUGAUGACGGUACCGGAUGAAGAAGCACCGGCUAACUCUGUGCCAGCAGCCGCGGUAAUACAGAGGGUGCAAGCGUUGUUCGGAAUUAUUGGGCGUAAAGGGUGCGUAGGCGGUGCGGUAAGUCUGUUGUGAAAUCUCCGGGCUCAACUCGGAGCCUGCAACGGAAACUGCCG
rnacentral:rRNA from 1 species